rnacentral:tRNA from 1 species
GUUGUUGUGGCCGAGUGGUUAAGGCGUUGGAAUAAAAAGCCAUUGGGGUUUCCCCGCGCAGGUUCAAAACCUCCCAACAACG